GUAAAAUGGCUGACUAAAGCGAUAAAUUGUAAAUUUAUUUAUGAAUAAUUUCUUUUAUUA
rnacentral:tRNA from 1 species